GUGGAUAUACACACACAUUAUUUUGGAAAGUAUUAACUUUUUCCGGAAUUUAUUUUCUAGAACAUUUAAGAAACAAACUACACCACAAUUUUAUAUUUGUGUUAUUUUUUGUCACCCUUAUUUUCGGGGGUAAAACAACCUGCUUUUGAUUUUCAAAUGGCAACUUAUAUUACAAAGUCCAUAAAUAGAUUGAGUAUUAGUUAAAAUAAAUAUGAGAGUUGACAUUUUUGAUUUCUGUCAAGCCGUUGACAAGAUAUUCCACUUUUAAGUUUAGAUUGAAGGAAAGUAGUGAAGUAUCAUUUGUGUGGCGCGGCGUAUUAAUAAUGCACCACUACUCUCCUCCAAGUCUAAGUUCCUAGUAUUUUUACAUGGUAUACGGAAACCAAUUUCCAAUAAUAAAUCAGAACAGUCAUUGAGGUUGUUUAAAAUAUCUUAAACUAACAUAAUAUUACCUACUUUAAUUCUUAUACAUAGUGAAUCUAGGCUCAAAAAGUUUUCAACAUAAACGGUAUCUCUAGUAAUAUGUAUAUUAGAUACAUAUGUAAUUAUUUUCGAAAACUUAAACUGGACAUGAUUGAGAUUAUUUAUAUAUUUUGAAUAGUUAUUAGACCAAAUAAGUGAACCGAAUUCGAAGUUAGAUCUUACUCCCAAAUCUUUAAAAGAACUUACUCUAUCAAGUGAAUAAUUAUUAAUUUGGUACUAAAAUAUUAUUGGAUUUUUACUACGUGUAAAAGUGAUCACUUGGCAUUUAUUAAAAUUAAGAGGAAUAUUUUGUACACUCCACUGGUAAAACUUAUCAAGACCAGGUAGUAAAAUAUUUACAUUAUUAACAGAUUAAAUAUCCAAGUAUAAUUUUGCGCCAUCUGCAAACAAGAAAACUAGUAAUAUUGGUAUCAAGGAUAGACAGAUCAUUUAUAAAAAUAAGGAAUAGUAAUGGACCUAGGUGAGAGCUCUAUGGAACACCCGAAGUCACUGGAUAAUGAUUAGAGUAGUGAAAAGAGAUUUUUACAGAUUUUAUUUGGUAAGUAAAGUAGGUAAAAAGUCAGUUUGAAAGAUUUCCUUCAGGCCCAGAG